AUUGAACGCUGGCGGAAUGCUUUACACAUGCAAGUCGAACGGUAGAGGGGGCAACCCCUCGAGAGUGGCGAACGGGUGAGUAAUAUAUCGGAACGUGCCCAGUCGUGGGGGAUAACGUAGCGAAAGUUACGCUAAUACCGCAUACGAUCUAAGGAUGAAAGCGGGGGAUCGCAAGACCUCGCGCGAUUGGAGCGGCCGAUAUCAGAUUAGGUAGUUGGUGGGGUAAAGGCUCACCAAGCCAACGAACUGUAGCUGGUCUGAGAGGACGACCAGCCACACUGGAACUGGGACACGGUCCAGACUCCUACGGGAGGCAGCAGUGGGGAAUUUUGGACAAUGGACGCAAGUCUGAUCCAGCCAUUCCGCGUGCAGGAUGAAGGCCCUCGGGUUGUAAACCGCUUUUGUACGGAACGAAAAGGUCUCUCUUAAUACGGGGGACUCAUGACGGUACCGUAAGAAUAAGCACCGGCUAACUACGUGCCAGCCGCCGCCGUAA
rnacentral:rRNA from 1 species